CUGGACGUCAGCCUAGCAAUUAGCUCAUCGACUCCAGAUUGGAGAACUCGACACCAUGAAGGUGCUGAUCGUUGCCCUUGCUCUCCUGGCGCUCGCUGCGAGCGCCGCCUCCAGUACAAGCGGCGGCUGUGGCUGCCAGACACCACCGUUUCAUCUACCGCCUCCGUUCUAUAUGCCGCCUCCGUUCUAUCUGCCGCCGCAGCAGCAGCCGCAGCCAUGGCAAUACCCCACUCAACCACCGCAGCUAAGCCCGUGCCAGCAGUUCGGAUCCUGCGGCGUCGGCAGCGUCGGCAGCCCGUUCCUGGGCCAGUGCGUCGAGUUCCUGAGGCACCAGUGCAGCCCGGCGGCGACGCCCUACGGCUCGCCACAGUGCCAGGCGCUGCAGCAGCAGUGCUGCCACCAGAUCAGGCAGGUGGAGCCGCUGCACCGGUACCAGGCGACAUACGGUGUGGUCCUGCAGUCCUUCCUGCAGCAGCAGCCGCAGGGCGAGCUCGCGGCGCUGAUGGCGGCCCAGGUAGCGCAGCAGCUGACGGCGAUGUGCGGCCUGCAGCUGCAGCAGCCAGGUCCCUGCCCUUGCAACGCAGCUGCCGGCGGUGUCUACUACUGAGGAAACUAUGUACUGUAGUAAUAAUGUAAUGGAGCCGCUGGCUAGCUACCUAGCUCGCUAGUUUACUCAUUUAGCGGCGAUGAGUAACGUAGUGUCACCCAUCACCAUGGGUGGCAGUGUGAGCAAUGACCUGAAUGAACCAUUGAAAUGGAAAGGAAUAAUAUAUAAGGAAAAAAGAUGAUUGGAAACUGAUAGUUGGUUCUGAGUCUUGCUAUCGAGGAUGGGAGAUACAACUCUUUUAUUUAAGGAGGGAUGAG
rnacentral:misc_RNA from 1 species